UACGAAGGGGGCGAGCGUUGUUCGGAAUCACUGGGCGUAAAGGGCGCGUAGGCGGCCCUCCUUGUCGCGUGUGAAAGCCCCGGGCUCAACCUGGGAACGGCGCGCGAGACGGGGGGGCUGGAGUUCGGGAGAGGCGCGUGGAAUUGCAGGUGUAGCGGUGAAAUGCGUAGAUAUCUGCAGGAACACCCGUGGCGAAAGCGGCGCGCUGGACCACUACUGACGCUGAGGAACGAAAGCUAGGGGAGCAAACAGG
rnacentral:rRNA from 1 species